rnacentral:rRNA from 1 species
UAGGGAAUCUUCCACAAUGGGCGAAAGCCUGAUGGAGCAACGCCGCGUGUGUGAUGAAGGGUUUCGGCUCGUAAAACACUGUUGUAAGAGAAGAAUGACAUUGAGAGUAACUGUUCAAUGUGUGACGGUAUCUUACCAGAAAGGAACGGCUAAAUACAUACCAG